rnacentral:rRNA from 1 species
UCAAGUGACUAAGCGUACACGGUGGAUGCCUUGGCAGUCAGAGGCGAUGAAGACGUGGUAGCCUGCGAUAAGCUUCGGGAGCUGGCAAACGACUUGAUCCGGAGAUUUCGAAUGGGAAACCCACCUGCUUAGGUAUCGUUACUGAAUACAUAGUGUAACGAGGCGAACGCGGGAACUGAAACAUCUAAGUACCCGAGGAAAAGAAAUCAACCGAGAUUCCUCAGUAGCGGCGAGCGAACGGAUUAGCCCUUAAGCUGGACAUGUGUUAGGAGAAGGCUCUGGAAAGUGCCGCCAUAGUGGGUGAUAGCCCCGUAUCCGAAAACUGAUCAGUGAAAUCGAGUAGGUCGGACACGUGAAACUUGACUGAAUAUGGGGACCAUCCUCAAGGCUAAAUACUCCUGAGAGACCGAUAGUGAACCAGUACCGUGAGGGAAAGGUGAAAAGAACCCUGAAUAAGGGAGUGAAAUAGAACCUGAAACCGUGUACGUACAAGCAGUCGGAGCCCACUUGUUGGGUGACGGCGUACCUUUGUAUAAUGGGUCAGCGACUUAUAUUUUGUAGCGAGGUUAACCGAUUAGGGAGCCGUAGGAAACCGAGUUUAAUAGGGCGAAUAGUUGCUGGUAUAGACCCGAAACCCGGCGAUCUACCCAUGGGCAGGUUGAAGAUGAGUAACAUCACUGGAGGACCGAACCACUACCGUUGAAAAGUUAGGGGAUGACUUGUGGGUCGGAGUGAAAGGCUAAUCAAGCCGGGAGAUAGCUGGUUCUCCCCGAAAUCUAUUUAGGUAGAGCCUCGGACGAAUACCACGGGGUAGAGCACUGUUUCGGCUAGGGGUCAUCCCGACUUACCAACCCGAUGCAAACUCCGAAUACCGUGAGUACUAUCCGGGAGACACACGGCGGGUGCUAACGUCCGUCGUGAAGAGGGAAACAACCCAGACCGCCAGCUAAGGUCCCAAAGUCCUAGUUAAGUGGGAAACGAUGUGGAAAGGCCCAGACAGCCAGGAGGUUGGCUUAGAAGCAGCCAUCCUUUAAAGAAAGCGUAAUAGCUCACUGGUCGAGUCGGUCUGCGCGGAAGAUGUAACGGGGCUAAACUAUGCACCGAAGCUGCGGAUUCAAAAUUUAUUUUGAGUGGUAGGGGAGCGUUCUGUAAGCGGUUGAAGGUGUGCCGGGAGGCAUGCUGGACGUAUCAGAAGUGCGAAUGCUGACAUGAGUAACGAUAAUGCGGGUGAAAAACCCGCACGCCGGAAGACCAAGGGUUCCUAUCCCAUGUUAAUCAGGGUAGGGUAAGUCGACCCCUAAGGCGAGGCCGAAAGGCGUAGUCGAUGGGAAACGGAUUAAUAUUUCCGUACUUGGUAUAAUUGCGAUGGGGGGACGGAGCAGGCUAAGCAAGCAUGGCGAUGGUAGUCCAUGUGAAAGUGUGUAGGCUAGUGACUUAGGUAAAUCCGGGUUGCUGUUAGGCUGAGACACGAGACGAGCACCCAAGGGUGUGAAGUUGCUGAUGCCAUACUUCCAGGAAAAGCCUCUAAGCUUCAGAUUAUACCGAAUCGUACCCCAAACCGACACAGGUGGUCAGGUAGAGAAUACUAAGGCGCUUGAGAGAACUCGGGUGAAGGAACUAGGCAAAAUCGUACCGUAACUUCGGGAGAAGGUACGCUCCGAUUGGUGAUGGGACUUGCUCCCUAAGCUGAUUGGAGCCGCAGUGACCAGGUGGCUGGGACUGUUUAUUAAAAACACAGCACUGUGCAAAAUCGCAAGAUGACGUAUACGGUGUGACACCUGCCCGGUGCCGGAAGGUUAAUUGAUGGGGUUAUCUUCGGAGAAGCUCUUGAUCGAAGCCCCGGUAAACGGCGGCCGUAACUAUAACGGUCCUAAGGUAGCGAAAUUCCUUGUCGGGUAAGUUCCGACCUGCACGAAUGGCGUAAUGAUG